GGGGAAUUGGUUUAGUGGUAUAAUGUUCCCUUAGCAGCAUCAUCGGAUCUGAUAUGGGAGAGGUCGCGAGUUCGAUUCUUGCAUUCUCCA